CAGUCGAUCGGUAACGCGGGGGCAACCCUGGCGACGAGAGGCGGACGGGUGAGGAACGCUUGGGAAUCUGCCUAUCAGCGGGGGACAACACGGGGAAACUCGUGCUAAUACCGCAUACGCUCUACGGAGGAAAGCCGGGGACCGCAAGGCCUGGCACUGAUAGAUGAGCCCAAGUCGGAUUAGCUAGUUGGCGGGGUAACGGCCCACCAAGGCGACGAUCCGUAGCUGGUCUGAGAGGACGAUCAGCCACACUGGAACUGAGACACGGUCCAGACUCCUACGGGAGGCAGCAGUGGGGAAUAUUGGACAAUGGGGGAAACCCUGAUCCAGCGACGCCGCGUGGGUGAAGAAGGCCUGCGGGUUGUAAAGCCCUUUCGGUAGGGACGAAAGCUCUCGACCUAACACGUCGGGAGGUUGACUUAACCUACAAAAGAAGCACCGGCUAACUCUGUGCCAGCAGCCGCGGUAAUACAGAGGGUGCGAGCGUUAAUCGGAAUUACUGGGCGUAAAGCGCACGUAGGCGGCUUGGUAUGUCGGGUGUGAAAUCCCCGGGCUCAACCUGGGAACUGCAUCCGAAACUGCCUUGCUCGAGUAUGGGAGAGGGAAGUGGAAUUUCCGGUGUAGCGGUGAAAUGCGUAGAUAUCGGAAGGAACAUCAGUGGCGAAGGCGACUUCCUGGACCAAUACUGACGCUCAGGUGC
rnacentral:rRNA from 1 species